rnacentral:tRNA from 2 species
GGAGCGAUGGCAGAGAGGCUGAAUGCACCGGUCUUGAAAACCGGCAUACCGCAAGGUAUCGGGGGUUCAAAUCCCUCUCGCUCCG